rnacentral:rRNA from 1 species
UACGGAGGGUGCAAGCGUUGUCCGGAUUUACUGGGUUUAAAGGGUGCGUAGGUGGGCGGGCAAGUCGGAGGUGAAAUCUCCGGGCUUAACCCGGAAACUGCCAUUGAUACUAUUUGUCUUGAAUACUUUGGAGGUAAGCGGAAUAUGUCAUGUAGCGGUGAAAUGCUUAGAUAUGACAUAGAACACCAAUUGCGAAGGCAGCUUACUGGACAGUAAUUGACACUGAGGCACGAAAGCGUGGGGAUCAAACAGG